rnacentral:lncRNA from 1 species
AAUGCAGAAUAUUUCUCAACACAGCCAAACUUGGUACAUUACAAUAAUAGUACAUAGUAUCCAGUUUUCUAAUACACAAAAAGAUCAAACAUUAACAAGCUCCAAUGAGGUUCUCUUUGCUGGGUGCGAAUUCUAGCUUCUUCAUCAUGGGACUUGUUGCAGCAGUCAGCACUUCAAUGAACAAAGGACAUCUACAUGUUAUAAACAAAACAAUUAGGAACAAAAUAAAAACAGAACAUUAUGCAUUUGGUGCGGAAAUGGUUAGAGCAAAGAGGAGCUUCAACAACAAAGCAAACCAAAUCAAAUCAAACACACACCGACAUUUGCAGAUGAAUAUUUUUGUUUGACUCAUUUACUGCUGCUCCCUUUAAUUUUCAGGACUACAUAUUCUAAAUCUACUAGUACUAGAUACCUACUGAUUAGAAAAUAAAGCUGAGUUAUACUAGUAGUGGUGGUGCUCAAUUGCCACUAUUCUUAUCAUAUUUACUCCAUAGGAACUAACAUGAACAUGCCAAUUGAUUAAAACCUAAGCCGUGUAAAUUUCAGUACAACAACCUUAAGCCAUGAUGAUAGACAGUGAGAAAAUCAACUAAAUUUAAGGAGUGCUAACCAAGAACCCUUUAAUUAACCCUACCAUUUCAUCUAACACCCCCAACCAAACAGGAGCAUGAGUAGGACAAUAGCUACUAAACCUUGAGGUCAGGCAUAUACAUAUACCUGGACUUUGCUUCUUAACAUGAGGCCCCCCAUUUGAGUUGGCCGCCUCUUCCUUUUUCUGCCCCUUGAUCUUAAACAGGUUUAUCAUCUUCC